ensembl:misc_RNA Vault Vault RNA
GGGCUGGCUUUAGCCCAGCGGUUCCUUCAAGUCUGGCUUCCCAACCGCCCGGGUCGAUUGGUCCAGUGGUUCAAGACCUGCGGGCGCUCUCCAGUCCUUAA